rnacentral:rRNA from 1 species
GAUGAACGCUAGCGGGAGGCCUAACACAUGCAAGCCGAGCGGGAUUUGUUGGUUAGCUUGCUAACUAACAAUGAGAGCGGCGUACGGGUGCGUAGCACGUGUGCAACCUGCCUUUAUCUGGGGGAUAGCCUUUCGAAAGGAAGAUUAAUACCCCAUAACAUAUUGAUUGGCAUCAGUUAAUAUUGAAAGCUCCGGCGGAUAGAGAUGGGCACGCGUAAGAUUAGCUAGUUGGUGAGGUAACGGCUCACCAAGGCUGCGAUCUUUAGGGGGCCUGAGAGGGGGAUCCCCCACACUGGUACUGAGACACGGACCAGACUCCUACGGGAGGCAGCAGUGAGGAAUAGUGGACAAUGGGUGAGGGCCUGAUCCAGCCAUCCCGCGUGAAGGACUAAGGACCUAUGGGUUGUAAACUUCUUUUAUACAGGGAUAAACCUACUCUCGUGAGGGUAGCUGAAGGUACUGUAUGAAUAAGCACCGGCUAACUCCGUG